CCUACGGGAGGCAGCAGUGGGGAAUAUUGCACAAUGGGGGAAACCCUGAUGCAGCGACGCCGCGUGAGUGAAGAAGUAAUUCGUUACGUAAAGCUCUAUCAGCAGGGAAGAAAAUGACGGUACCUGAGUAAGAAGCCCCGGCUAACUACGUGCCAGCAGCCGCGGUAAUACGUAGGGGGCAAGCGUUAUCCGGAUUUACUGGGCGUAAAGGGAGCGUAGACGGUGGGCCAAGUCUGGAGUGAAAUGCCGCAGCUUAACUGCGGAACUGCUUUGGAAACUGGCGAACUAGAGUGCAGGAGGGGUAGGCGGAAUUCGUAGUGUAGCGGUGAAAUGCGUAGAUAUUAGGAAGAACACCGAUGGCGAAGGCAGCUUACUGGACCGUAACUGACGUUGAGGCUCGAAAGCGUGGGGAGCAAACAGGAUUAGAUACCCUUGUAGUC
rnacentral:rRNA from 1 species